GCUGCGAUGGGCCUGGUGUUGCAUUCAUUUGCUGUGGGAAUUUUGAAACAUCCAGCUUCUCAAGCUAGAGGCGCUCGCCUUAUCGAUAUAUCGUUUUGCUUUCAUUUUUGCUCCUAAUAAUGAAUAAUAUGAAUAUGCCACAUGAUCAGUGGUCAAACCUCUCUCGUUUUUUGUGCAUCACCCUAUAACACUUGUAUGGAGAAUCCAUCUUUCUUAAUACUCUCAAAAUGUUAUCAAAAGGUAUCUAGUUUAUCGGAUUUUCCGUAUUUAUCUGUUUUCAGAUCAUCAAGUAUUACUGAAUGAACUUCAUUGGCGCCUUGCAGAGUUUUCUGCCCUUGAUUUAAUUCAUACCUUUAAGCAUAAGAUAACUGAUGGUGUGAGUGCUAUAUUUAUUUUAUUAUAAGAAAUUUUGUCAAAAUGGCUUUUGGGUGUGUCAGUCCGCAGCUAUAUACUUGUACUAGCACUUGUAAAUUAAAUUUCAACAUCAAAUGGAAGAAAUUAAACGUUGACAAUAAAUUAAAUACAUUUAUGAUGGUACAUUAUGGGUGUUGUGUGAAUCAUGUACUGUAAACCAACGGAUUCCAUUUCUCAGAAAAUAUAUCUAGGUGCGAAUGUAACAUUUUCGAGGUGCUUUGAAGGCCACGUAGGUGAGUGGAUGCCUCAAUUUAAGUAAAAUAUAACAUUCGUGUGAGUGUGUGUGCAAAGAAUGGAGAACGACAUAGAAACUAGUAAGCUAACUAAGCGAGAAUAUUCAAGUCUCUCAGGAACUACUAAUAAAUUCUCGACCAAAAAAUCUGCACCUCUUUUUAAAAUGUCACAAAAAGGAACAAAACACAGUACAGGACAUAAAUACACGACAAGUCAAGAGAUGGAACAAACUUGUGGAAAUGUAGACAAAUCAUCACAAGCAAAGAUGAAACGUCAUUCCAAAUCUGCAACUUCAGUGGACUCACUUGAAACCGCAAGUAUGCAAUUUGUACAAACUAUAGUUUAUCAUCAGGUAUUUUAUGA